rnacentral:tRNA from 1 species
GGGGAUAUAGCUCAGUAGUAGAGCACUUGCUUACCAGGCACAAGGCUGUGGGUUCAAUCCCCAGCACCCCA